AGUGAACGCUGGCGGUAGGCCUAACACAUGCAAGUCGAACGGCAGCACACUAAUAUCUUGCUCUUACGGGGUGCCAAUGGCGUACGUGUCAGGAAUACAUCGUAAUCUACUUUUUCGUGUGGGAUCACGUAGGUAAACUUACUCUAAUACCGCAUACGACCUACCGUUGAAAGCAGUGGAUCUUCUCACCUUGUGCGUUUGAAUUAGCCGAUGUCGUAUUAGCUAGUUGGCUGGGUAAAGGCCCACCAAGGCGACGAUCCGUAGCUGGUCUGAGAGGAUGAUCAGCCAGACUGGAAGUGAGACAGGGUCCAGAGUGCUACGGGAGGGAGCAGUGGGGAAUAUUGGACAAUGAGCGGAAGCCUGAUCAAGACAUACGGAGUGGGGGAAGAAGGACUUCGGGUUGUAAAGCCCUUUUGUUGGGAAAGAAAAGGAGCAGGUUAAUAGCGAGCUGUUAUGACGGUAAACAAAGAAAAAGCAACGGCUAACUUAGUG
rnacentral:rRNA from 1 species